rnacentral:rRNA from 1 species
GACGAACGCUGGCGGCGUGCCUAAUACAUGCAAGUCGAGCGGACUUAAAAAGCUUGCUUUUUAAGUUAGCGGCGGACGGGUGGGUAACACGUGGGCAACCUGCCUGUAAGACUGGGAUAACUUCGGGAAACCGGAGCUAAUACCGGAUAAUCCUUUUCUACUCAUGUAGAAAAGCUGAAAGACGGUUUACGCUGUCACUUACAGAUGGGCCCGCGGCGCAUUAGCUAGUUGGUGAGGUAACGGCUCACCAAGGCGACGAUGCGUAGCCGACCUGAGAGGGUGAUCGGCCACACUGGGACUGAGACACGGCCCAGACUCCUACGGGAGGCAGCAGUAGGGAAUCUUCCGCAAUGGACGAAAGUCUGACGGAGCAACGCCGCGUGAGUGAUGAAGGUGUUCGGAUCGUAAAACUCUGUUGUUAGGGAAGAACAAGUACGAGAGUAACUGCUCGUACCUUGACGGUACCUAAACAGAAAGCCACGGCUAACUACGUG